rnacentral:ncRNA from 2 species
GCUUCGGGGCAGGGUGUAAUUCCCGACCGGCGGUAAAGUCCGCGAGCCGUGUACGGCAUGAAUGGGUGCAAUUCCCAUACCGACAGUCAGAGUCUGGAUGAUAGAAGC